AGCCUUAUAGUCAAGGGUAUGAUAUUAGACUGCAAUUCUGAAGGGGUAAGUUAAUUACUAAGGCUU
rnacentral:tRNA from 1 species